rnacentral:rRNA from 1 species
UGGGGAAUCUUGCGCAAUGGGCGAAAGCCUGACGCAGCCAUGCCGCGUGAAUGAUGAAGGUCUUAGGAUUGUAAAAUUCUUUCACCGGGGACGAUAAUGACGGUACCCGGAGAAGAAGCCCCGGCUAACUUCGUGCCAGCAGCCGCGGUAAUACGAAGGGGGCUAGCGUUGCUCGGAAUUACUGGGCGUAAAGGGCGCGUAGGCGGAUCGUUAAGUCAGAGGUGAAAUCCCAGGGCUCAACCCUGGAACUGCCUUUGAUACUGGCGAUCUUGAGUAUGAGAGAGGUAUGUGGAACUCCGAGUGUAGAGGUGAAAUUCGUAGAUAUUCGGAAGAACACCAGUGGCGAAGGCGACAUACUGGCUCAUUACUGACGCUGAGGCGCGAAGGCGUGGGGAGCAAACAGG